GGACAUAAGGGCAAUCUGCCUGCAAGAGCUGUCACUCCUUUGAUUGGCAGGUUUGGUUCAGUUGAUCCAGCUGGCUAGGCAGUGACCCCUUCCUCCCCCAGCACUCUAUGUGUAUCCCUCCUAAAACUGCAUGAUCGGUUGAAGAGGUCAAACCUCCCCAAUAGAGGAGGACUGGUCUUCAGUCAAGAUAUCUGAGUAGCUGUGCUCCCUGCUAGAAUCCCCAAGCAAGCUCUCAAGGAAAUGGAGCCCUGCGGAGUACCACAGUGCACUGCUUUCCUCCUUGAUGACAGGAUGGGAAGAGGA
rnacentral:snRNA from 1 species